rnacentral:rRNA from 1 species
GAUGAACGCUGGCGGCGUGCCUAAUACAUGCAAGCCGAGCGAACGGACGAGAAGCUUGCUUCUCUGAUGUUAGCGGCGGACGGGUGAGUAACACGUGGAUAACCUACCUAUAAGACUGGGAUAACUUCGGGAAACCGGAGCUAAUACCGGAUAAUAUUUUGAACCGCAUGGUUCAAAAGUGAAAGACGGUCUUGCUGUCACUUAUGGAUGGAUCCGCGCUGCAUUAGCUAGUUGGUAAGGUAACGGCUUACCAAGGCAACGAUGCAUAGCCGACCUGAGAGGGUGAUCGGCCACACUGGAACUGAGACACGGUCCAGACUCCUACGGGAGGCAGCAGUAGGGAAUCUUCCGCAAUGGGCGAAAGCCUGACGGAGCAACGCCGCGUGAGUGAUGAAGGUCUUCGGAUCGUAAAACUCUGUUAUUAGGGAAGAACAUAUGUGUAAGUAACUGUGCACAUCUUGACGGUACCUAAUCAGAAAGCCACGGCUAACUACGUG